ACCAAAAUAAAUUUGGUUGAAUACGAUUAGAAUUUAGAACACAACAUAAAUUUUUAUGAGCAGACGCUGCCAGUAGGCUUACCAACUGUUUGGUCAAGGUACAAUUUGUUGUUAGCAAUCAAGAAUGGCUAUGGAGAGAAGCAAGAGACCAGAAAUCAACAAAGAAGAAGUAAUCGCCAAACUUAAAGAUGACGGCGACUUCGAUAAUCUCCGUCUCAAAGUUAUCCGCAAGCUCAAAGAUAACGAAGAAUUGCGCAAUAAUCUUAUUUCCAUUAUAAGGCAGUCAGCUGCACUUAAUCGUCCAGGAGCUGACAAUAUGAAACCUAGACAACUCUCUGAUGCUAUCUAUGAAGAGGUUGGGAGUGAAGCUAUGAGCAAGAUUUCUGAUGGUGUUUGGGAGAUAAUUAGAUGUGCUGAUGGUAUGAAAAAUGAAAUAACUGAGACUGUACAGUCUGUUUAUGAUAAGUUGGUGGAGCCUGAAAGGAAAGGAAGGUGUGAAUCUUCUAAUCGUGAUAUAAUGCAGGCUGACAAUGAUGUCACUGUGAAGGCGGCGGCUGCUUCUGCGGUUGCCUUGGGUGGUGAGUCUUCUGACGAUGAACCGCCGGGGUUUCCUUUGCCCGGUAGUCGUCAGACCAACCAUGGAACUGAGGAGUUAGAGUUGCCUGUGCAUUGUGGGGGAAUUUUGGAGAAGGAGAAGGAGAAGGAACAGCCACGGCACUCGAAAGAUAUGAUGGAAUCGGAUGAUGCUGAUCCUAGUGUACCACCAGGCUUUGCUGCAGACACUAAUGGUAAUCAGCCAUGCCAUGAUAGUGAUGAGGACUCUGAUGUGCCCCCUGGUUUUGGUUGAUGAAUCUGCUUUAAAAGCAAUUUUGCUGCUGCUAUUUGUCAAUCUGAGUUCUUGAUAACAGCCGUACAUGGAAUGAUUUAGCCCUGAAUGCUUUGUGGAAUUCUCUUUCCCCUCCUUUGAAGUGUAGACAGAAUGAUACUUGAAGAUAUAGUAGCCAGGCUUUUGAGGGCAAAGAAGCUUAAUACUGUUCAGUAAUCCUUUUUAAGGUUAGUUUUACAUACUAUAUUUUCCUAAUACUACAUAUCUGCUUUGUGGCAUUGCACAUAGAAGGGUGCCAAGCUACUUCUCUGUAUUCUGAUGAUGAGAUAUUUUUGGUAAAUAUGAAUGCAUAAUGCUUUUCUUACAGCAGGGUUCGCCAUUUGUUGUUUUAAAGAUCACUUGCACUUGUUCAUUAUCUACAAGAAACUUUGAAUGACUAGUGGUUCAGAAGCGUCCUUCUGUUGUAAAACACCAGGACCAUGAGUUCAGACCAUCAUGUUGGGGUUGUUAUGAGAAUAUGUUAAAGUUCGAAGGAAAUUUUAUAGCUGAAAAAUAUCACUGUUUGCAAUGAAAUUUACCAUAGGGAGUUAAAGUUGUUCAAUGCAAAUCAUUGCUUGUCUACUAAGUGUAAUACAAGUGCCUCAUUUCUCAAAUGAACCCCACAGAUAUUGGACUCCUAACAGAGUAGUUAGCAGAAUCCCAAGUUAUAUAUCCCUGAACAAAUUUGCCGGUUUUGGCACCGGAUCCAGUAUGGCUGAUUGUUACUGAGUACGUCGCUUUCUGGUUCACCUUGGAAAAAUAGAGCCUGGAGGGUUUGACACUUAUAGCGACUCCUGGUGGAGAAGUAAUUGUUACCUUGUAAACUGAAUUUGCAUAACCCACAUUUGUGACGGUCCGUGUGAAUGUCUGUGAAGUUCCCAAUGUAACAGAAAAUGAAGGAUAAUUCAGCUGCCCUUCAGGUAUGGCUGGAUAUUUUGAGCACGCAAUUGGUUUAUGUGCAAUUAUGCUUACUUGCUUGUCCGCGUAGCCCAGGCCACACAAAUAAGGUAUAUAAUCAUCCGGUUGGAUGUCAUAAACUAAUCCUGGGUCAUUUGCCUUAGAUGGGUUCACAUGGCCUGCACCAACGGCGAAGAAAUCUGCAGGUUGAUCUGUUUCAUCAACAAUGUGUUUGUCUUCCAAGUUUAAGAUAUCUGCAGUAGUCAUAAUGGCAGAUUUAAUGGCAGCAGGUGACCAGUGAGGAUGAGAGCUCUUGAGCAAGGCUGCAAUGCCACUAAGAUGCGGGCAUGACAUUGAAGUCCCUGACAUUAUGUUAAAGGUUGAUACUGUUUUUGUAUUAUUAUCAAGCGGGAAGGGCCAUGCUGCUAUAAUGCUUACACCGGGGCCAAUUAUGUCUGGUUUGAGAAUACCAGGGCUUGCGAUGCUGGGACCUCUCGACGAGAAUGAGGUAACAGCGGGAGCUGACGGGUCUCCUAUGACAGUUCCUUUAAAUAAGAUUGUUGCCAUUGGUGUUUUUGUCGAAUUAAUGUACGAUUUGAUCUUCAAACCUGCAUCGAAGCUUACAUGGGUUGCAGGAAGGACAUGAGCAUCAACUAUUGUACUGAAGCCAUUAGGCUCGUCAUUCAUGAGUAUCAUCACAGCACCCCCAGCAUUUUUCACUUCGUCACCUUUAGCGAUUCUGCCUAUUCCCGCUCCUCUUUCACACAAGACCACUUUGCCUUUCACAUCCAUGCCUUCCAGCGCUCCCUCACCGCAAAAAGCCGACUCUGGUUUAUUGUUACUACCAGCAUAAACAAGGGGUAAUAGUGUCGUCGGAAAGUUGCUAGGUUGGAACAUAGAUUCUCCAACUAGUUCUUCUCCGUUUCCAAGCUUUGCGGUGGCAACAAUUUUUCUAUCAAUGGUACUUGCUCCAACAGUGAGGAUCCAUGGGGCUUCAUUAGAUAAUGUGCUGUUGGAAGGGCCAGAGUUUCCAGCUGAACAGCUCAUAAAUAUUCCUUUCUGAAUUGCAGCAAAGGAGCCUAUUGCUGUAUUAUCUUGAAAAAAGGGUACUGACACGCCACCGAGGGAGAGCGAGAGCACAUCCACACCAUCCUCCACUGCUGCAUCGAGACCAGCUAAUACAUCACUUUCAGGACAAUCAUCAUCAGGGUCUCCAAAGCACACUUUGUAAAUUGCCAGAUGAGCAUAAGGUGCCAUGCCAGCUGCUGUGCCUUUGCCAUUUCCGAGCACGUCAGCAUUGUAUACAAAGCUACCAGCAGCUGUACUCGCUGUGUGAGUCCCAUGGCCAUCAACAUCAAUUGGUGUUUCAGCCAAUGACCCCUUUAUGGCCUUAGCUGCAAGGUUGAAACUUCUUGCUCCAAUAAGUUUGUUGUUACACGCUGAUGCAUUGAACUCACAUCUGCCUUUCCAUUUGGCCGGAGGUGGCGGCAUUCCUUUGUCAUUGAAUGAAGGAUGGCUGGGGAAAACGCCACCAUCUAGUACUCCAAUUAUCACACCUUUGCCGAAAUUUGAUUCUUUCCAUAAUCCCGUUUGCUGGUGCAACCCCAAGAAGGUAGGAGUAUGUGUAGUCUGUAGACGUAAUUUUCUUUCGGGACUUGCAGAUACAAAGCCAUCAAUCUCUUCCAUGGCUUUCACUUCCUCCGGUGUCAUUCUUGCUGAAAAACCGCUGAUUAUAUUCUUGUAUGAGUAAAUCAUACGACGCUCCUCCUCCUCCUCAGAGCUUGCUGUGCUAAAUGAUAAAAAUGAUUUGUGCCAUUUCUUCAGAUCUUCUAGCUGCGAAAAGGUUUUUCCUUCUGGUUGACUGACAUGGAUAAUGUAGGUCUGCAAGUUGCUAGUUUCUUUCAUUUCAUCUGUGUAUUGAGCUGAUCGAGCAAUCUGAGGAUAAAAGUUGAACAAGAAAAUGAGAAAAAGUCGGACAGCCAUAUUUGAAUAAGUAAAUAUCAGUUCCUGUCAUGUCGAUCUUAGAGAAAUAUUCUUGCUAAUCGAUUCCGAUCCUAAUUAUUGCACGGUAUGGAAUUUUAUCCCUUAUUAAACAAUGUAGCUUCGUAGAAUAUGCUGUCUGCGUUCUGAUGAUUUAUAUAAUUUGUAAUUGGAUUUUUACUAUUGUUGUUUAUUUGAUGCUGUAACUAACAGACAUAUCAUUUUAAUUAUUAAAGAUGUCGGCGUCUUCCAAGAUUGCCAUCGCCACCGUGACCUAGUCUUCAUUUGAGAACAAAACUAGUAUUGGACUUCUAACAGAAUACUGAUCAGAAUCCCAUUUCAGAUAUCCUUGAACAAAUGGAUCACUGUAUACUUUGCCUGUGUUGGUAAAUGUGACAGUGUAUGUUUCUGUUUGUUUCACCUGAGUGAAAGCAAUCUUAGACGGUGUGACAGUGACGUCCACUCCUGGCGGUGGAGCAACUGAAACAGUGUAGGAUGAGGUAGCAGGGCCGACAUUGGUUACUGUUCUGGUGUAUGUCUGAGUUUUGAAACCAAACACAAUUGAGAAAGAAGGGUAAUUAAGUUGUGCUUCAGGUAUGCUUUGGACUUCUGAACAUUUGAUUUUGCGCUGCACAAUGUAUGUAAUGUCCCUGUCUGGGUAACCUAAGCCACACAAGUACGGAAUGUAAUCGUCGGGUUGGAUAUCAUAGACGAGCCCUGGAUCACCGGCUUUUGAUGGAUUGACAUGGCCGGAACCGGUGGCCAAAAUAUCAGCAGGAAGAAGCCUUUCAUCAACAAUUGGUUGGCCAGCUAGGUUUACUGUAUCAGCAGUGGUCAUAAUAGCGGAUUUGAUUGCAGCGGGAGACCAGUCGGGAUGAGCACUUUUCAACAAAGCCGCAAUGCCGCUAAGAUGGGGGCAGGACAUUGAGGUACCUGAGAUCAUGUUAAAUGUUGCUUUUGUAUUUGUUUUGUUCUCUACAGAAAUUGGCCAUGCUGCUAGAAUGCUUACGCCUGGACCGAUGAUGUCUGGUUUUAAGAUUCCCGGGCUUGAAAGGCUUGGUCCUCUAGAGGAGAAGGAAGAAACCAUUGGAGCACUUUUCACACCGAUUACUGUGCCUUCAAACACAAACAAGGCUGUUGGUGACGAUGUUGAGUUUAUGUAGGCUUUGAUUCCCAUUCCAUCAGAGUAACUUACAUGCGAUGCAGGAAGGACAUGAGCAUCGGCUAUGGUGUUGUAGCCUUCAUCCUCCUGAUUCACAAGAAUCAUACCAGCACCACCAGCAUCCGCUACUACCUGUCCUUUCUCGACUCUUCCGGCCGACCCGCCUCUAUCACACAAAACUAUCUUGCCUUUGACUUCAGAACUUUCCAGUGAUCCCUCUUCACAUAAAGCUGAUGACUGAUUGCCAUUCUUGCCUGGAUAAACAAGUGGCCAAAAGUUUUGGGUGGGCUUCUGUGGCUGGAAAAGUGACUCACCAAAAUAUUCUGCGUUAUUUCCAAGCUUUACUGUUGAUCUUAUGCUUCUAUCAAUGGUGCUAGCUCCGACAGUGAGAAUCCAUGGAGCCUCAUUUGAUAAAGAGGAAUUCUCUGGGCCAGAAUUCCCAGCUGAACAACUCACGAAGAUUCCAUUUUGAAUAGCUCCAAAUGCACCCACUGCAAUGCUAUCCGCAAAAAACGGAGAGGAACCACCACCGAGUGAAAGAGAAAGAAUGUCCACACCGUCAUCCACGGCAGUAUCCAUAGCAGCUAAAAUGUCACUUUCUGAGCAACCGAAGUCCGAGCAAACUUGGUACAUGGCCACGUGAGCCAAAGGUGCCAUUCCUACUGCUGUGCCAUUGGCAUUGCCAAAAACAUUGGCACCUUCUACAAAAUUACCCGCUGCUGUGCUUGAUGUGUGAGUACCGUGCCCUUCAUCGUCGAAUGGUCCUGGAGGUCCAUAUCUAUGCUCAUUUGAUAGGAAAGUUCUUGCACCAAUGAGUUUGUUGUUGCAAGCUACAGUUCCAUUAAAUUCACAUUUCCCUCUCCAUUUGGCUGGUGGAGGCGACAUUCCUUGUUCUCCGAACGAAGGGUGAUCUGGUGUUAUUCCGGUGUCUAAAACUCCAAUAAUCACUCCAUUACCAUAAGUUGAGUUCCUCCAGAAUCCUAAAUUUUGGUGCAGCCCCAAGAAGUUGGGACUAUGAGUUGUAUGCAAGGGCAAUAUCUUUUGAGGACGCGCCGACACUAACCCGUCGUUUGCUUCCAUAGCUUUUGCUUCAUCUGCUGUCAGCUUCGCAGCAAAUCCACUAACCACAUUUCGGUAAGAAUAUACUAUGCGUUUUUGCUGAUUCGAAUUUGAGAUGCUGGUUGGCAAAAAUGAUUUAUACCAGCUUUCCAAAUCUUGAGACUGCUUCAAAAAUCCGUCCUGUGGCUUUGUUACAAACACAAUGAGGCAGAGCUGUCGAUGAUCGUCGAUGAUAGUUUCUUGACAUAGUUUUAACCGAAGAUGCAAAGAAAGGACAACAUCUUAGAGCUUCACACUUGCAACUUGCAAUUGGACUUCCAACACUAUACCCAUCAGCAACCCAUUUCAGAUAUCCCUGAGCAAAAGAGCCAUCCACAUUUUCAUUUCUACUAAAUGUUACGGAGUAUGUUGCUUUGUUGCUUGCUUCACUGAAACUAAUAGAGCGAGGGAUCACCUUAACAUCCACACCUUCUGGCUCGAUAAUUUCAACGUUGUAAGUUGAAUUCGCCCGCCCAACAUUCGUAACAGUUCUUGUAUACAUCUGGGGAACAAAACCCAAUUUGAUGGAGAUUGAUGGAUAAUUCAAUUGGGCUUCCGGUAUGCUCCCAACACUGGAGCACCUCACUUUGUGCUGAAUAAUGACUUUUACUUGUUUGUCAGAAAAUCCCAAACCACAUAGGUAAGGAAUGUAAUCAUCAGGUUGGAUCUCAUAAACAAGCCCUGGAUAGUUUGCUUUUGAUGGAUUCACAUGGCCAGCACCCAUGUCGAAAACUGUAGCUGGAAUGAACUGUUGAUCAGAAAUGGGCUUAUCUCCAAUGUUAUUUAGAUCAGCGGUGGUCAUGAUGGCUGAUUUUAUAACUGCAGGAGACCAGUCUGGAUGGGCACUUUUGAGUAGAGCAGCAAUGCCGCUAAGAUGAGGGCAUGCCAUUGAGGUGCCUGACUCUAUAUAAAACCUGUUGGUAGUAUAAUCUUUUGAAAUUGGCCAGGCAGCUAAAACUUUGACCCCAGGACCUAUAAUGUCUGGUUUUAAGAUUCCAGAACUUACAUUGCUAGGACCUCUCGAGGAAAAAACAGCAACUUGAGGAGCCUCUUGCAAUCCAAUUACAGUUCCUUUGAACAAGAUUGUAGCUGUUGGCGAUGAUGACGAGUUUAUAUAGGAUUUGAUUGCUAAUCCAGCCUUGUAACUCACCCGUGAUGCAGGAAGCACAUGAAACUCUGGCUCCAUAACAAAGCCAUCAUCCUUGCUAUUCAUCUCAAUCAUGGCGAACCCACCAUUGUCUUUCACUUCUUGGCCUUUGUAAAUUGUGUCGAUGGAAUCUGUUUCCACCUUGCACAACACUAUUUUGCCUUUGACAUUAAUAUUUCUUAGUGAUCCUGUCUCGCAGAAUGCGGAUGAUCCUGAAUUAUCGCCAGCAUAGAGAAGGGGUAACAAUCUGGAGGAGAAGUCAUUUGGCUGGAAAAGAGAUUCGCCGUUUAACUCGGUCCAGAAUUUCCUGCCGCGCAACUCACGAAGAUCCCUUUCUGAAUAGCUGCAUAUGCAGCUAUGGCUAUCACAUUAUCAUAAAAAACAUGAGAACUAACUCCAAGAGAAAGUGAAAGAACAUCAACACCAUCCUCAAUAGCAGCAUCCAUUGCAGCCAACACCUCACUAUCCUCAAUACCUUUAUACAUGGCCAAGUGAGCUAGUGGCGCUACGCCACUUGCAGUUCCGUUAGCCUGCCCAAAGUAAUUAGCAUUUUGCACAUGACUUCCGGCUGCUAUGCUAGCUGUGCGGUUGAGGCAUUCCAUCGUCGCGGAAUGCAGGGUGAUCAGAGGCUAUUCCAGUGUCGAUAAGUCCAAUAAUCACUCCUUUUCCGUAAUUUGAACGCUUCCAAAAUCCUGAGUUUUGAUGGAGCCCCAAGAAGCUAGGACUAUGGGUGGUAAAGAACUGUAUCUGUUUUUGCGGACGUGCUGACAAGAACCCUUCCUUCAUCUCCAUUGCCUUAACUUCUUCCUCCGUGAGUCUGGCGGCAAAGCCUGUUAUGACAUGGCGGUACGAGAAAAUCAAACGAGAGCUCAUCUCAUUCGGCAAAAAGGAUGUAUACCAGCUUUCCAAGUCGUAUUGCGUGUCUGGCUUGUCUACGAUGAUAAUGUAAGUGUCAAUGUUUGCUUGAGAGUAGAAAGCAAGUAGCAUCAGGAAGGUGAAAAUGAUGAUUUUUUUGGUGGUCUGCAUUUCCUUUUCUUGGAUUUUUAGUUUAGGAACUGAGAAAUAGAAAUAAAAGUGAAACAAGGUAUAAAAGAAAGUUGGAAGAAGACGAAGAUUAGAGGCAGAAUGCAAGAAAAAGAGAGCUUAUAGAGAAGCUAAAUUGAACUACUUGUUUAUACAUUACAGAAUAUGAUCAAAUGCAUCUAUUUAACAAUGA